rnacentral:rRNA from 1 species
AUUGAACGCUGGCGGCAGGCCUAACACAUGCAAGUCGAACGAGUGGCGGACGGGUGAGCAAUGCUUGGGAAUCUAGCUUAUGGAGGGGGAUCACUACGUGACACUGUGGCAAAUACCGCGUACCAUAGGAUGAGCCCAUGUGGGAUGAGGUAGUUGGUGAGGUAAAGGCCUACAAGGCCGACGAUCUCUAGCUGGUCUGAGAGGAUGACCAGCCACACUGGGACUGAGACACGGCCCAGACUCCUACGGGAGGCAGCAGUGGGUAAUAUUGCGCAAUGGUGGCAACCUGAUGCAGCCACGCCGCGUGAGUGAAGAAGGCCUUCGGGUUGUAAAGUUCUUGAGGUAGCGAGGCGUUAACUACAGAAGAAGCACCGGCUAACUCCGUGCCAGCAGCCGCGGUAAUUC